UGUAAUUYGUAGAAGGUAACUUUGGGGCUGGUCCUYGUCUAUGUUCCUUGGAACAGGACGUCAUAGAGGGUGAGAAUCCCGUGUGGCGAGGAUCCCAGUUCUUUGUAAAGUGCUUUCGAAGAGUCGAGUUGUUUGGGAAUGCAGCUCUAAGUGGGUGGUAAAUUCCAUCUAAAGCUAAAUAUUGGCGAGAGACCGAUAGCGAACAAGUACAGUGAUGGAAAGAUGAAAAGAACUUUGAAAAGAGAGUGAAAAAGUACGUGAAAUUGUUGAAAGGGAAGGGCAUUUGAUCAGACAUGGUGUUUUGCGCCCUCUGCUCCUUGUGGGUGGGGGAAUCUCGCAGCUCACUGGGCCAGCAUCAGUUUUGGCGGCAGGAUAAAUCUGCAGGAAUGUAGCUUGCCUCGGUAAGUGUUAUAUCCUGUAGAAAUACUGCCAGCUGGGACUGAGGACUGCGACNNUACGUCAAGGAUGCUG
rnacentral:rRNA from 1 species